rnacentral:rRNA from 1 species
UACGUAGGGGGCAAGCGUUGUCCGGAAUCAUUGGGCGUAAAGCGCGUGUAGGCGGCCCGAUAAGUCCGCUGUGAAAGUCAAAGGCUCAACCUUUGAAAGCCGGUGGAUACUGCAUGGCUAGAGUACGGAAGAGGCGAGUGGAAUUCCUGGUGUAGCGGUGGAAUGCGCAGAUAUCAGGAGGAACACCAAUAGCGAAGGCAGCUCGCUGGGACGUUACUGACACUGAGGCGCGAAAGCGUGGGGAGCGAACAGG